rnacentral:rRNA from 1 species
GCUUGUCUCAAAGAUUAAGCCAUGCAUGUCUAAGUAUAAGCAAUUAUACAGCGAAACUGCGAAUGGCUCAUUAUAUAAGUUAUCGUUUAUUUGAUAGUACCUUUCUACUUGGAUAACCGUGGUAAUUCUAGAGCUAAUACAUGCUAAAAAUCCCGACUUCGGAAGGGAUGUAUUUAUUAGAUUAAAAACCAAUGCCCUCUGGGCUCUCUGGUGAUUCAUAAUAACUUCUCGAAUCGCAUGGCCUUGCGCCGGCGAUGGUUCAUUCAAAUUUCUUCCCUAUCAACUUUCGAUGUUUGGGUAGUGGCCAAACAUGGUUGCAACGGGUAACGGAGGGUUAGGGCUCGACCCCGGAGAAGGAGCCUGAGAAACGGCUACUACAUCCAAGGAAGGCAGCAGGCGCGCAAAUUACCCAAUCCCGAUUCGGGGAGGUAGUGACAAUAAAUACUGAUACAGGGCUCUUUUGGGUCUUGUAAUUGGAAUGAGUACAAUUUAAAUCCCUUAACGAGGAACAAUUGGAGGGCAAGUCUGGUGCCAGCAGCCGCGGUAAUUCCAGCUCCAAUAGCGUAUAUUAAAGUUGUUGUGGUUAAAAAGCUCGUAGUUGAACCUUGGGCCUGGCUGGCCGGUCCGCCUCACCGCGUGUACUGGUCCGGCCGGGCCUUUCCCUCUGUGGAACCCCAUGCCCUUCACUGGGUGUGGCGGGGAAACAGGACUUUUACUUUGAAAAAAUUAGAGUGCUCCAGGCAGGCCUAUGCUCGAAUACAUUAGCAUGGAAUAAUGAAAUAGGACGUGCGGUUCUAUUUUGUUGGUUUCUAGGACCGCCGUAAUGAUUAAUAGGGACAGUCGGGGGCAUCAGUAUUCAAUUGUCAGAGGUGAAAUUCUUGGAUUUAUUGAAGACUAACUACUGCGAAAGCAUUUGCCAAGGAUGUUUUCAUUAAUCAGGAACGAAAGUUAGGGGAUCGAAGACGAUCAGAUACCGUCGUAGUCUUAACCAUAAACUAUGCCGACUAGGGAUCGGACGAUGUUAUUUUUUGACUCGUUCGGCACCUUACGAGAAAUCAAAGUGCUUGGGCUCCAGGGGGAG